UAGUAGUAGUAGUAGUAGUAGUAGUAGUAGUAGCAGUAGUAGUAGCAGUAGUAGUAGUAGUAGUGGUGGUGGUGGUGGUGGUGAUUUCACUCCGCAACUAGUAAAAUUCUAUGUCCAGUACAUCAGGGAGGUAAAAGAACACAAAACAUAAGUGGCCGUGGUGAGCAAAUCAGGGAAGUAAAGUGACGGAACAAGCCGAGGCAGCAAAACUAUAUAGUCGCCGCGGGCAAGUCAGUCACUUCGGGGACUCGCCAUUCGCGCCAAUCCCGGACAGAAUCUUGGCGGCUCAGUCUCCUUCCUUCGCGCUGUUAACUUCCUUCUUUUGUCCCGCCACUUUCCUUCCUUCCCUCCUUCCUUCCUUCCUUCCUUCCCUCGUCCUGUCAUCUUCCUCCUUCCUUCCUUCGUCCUGUCACCUUCCCUCCUUCCUUCCCUUUGUCACCUUCCUUCGGCCUUCGUCCUGCCAUCCUUGACACCCAACAAAAACGGGUUCCGGCGCCUUCACUGUAUUUUCGAUUGAUUUGAUAUUAAUCCCGUCUGGAAUUUUAAGAGGUUCAUCUUGCUAUCCACCCUCCUCGCUUCGCGGGGCUGGGGAGCGUCAGGGGGCCCAAGGCCUUCCUGGCGAGCGUCGCAGGGCUCAGGGUUCCGGCAGGGCGCCUCGGCUCCCCCGGAGCGUCCACCUCCGUGUCGGAGAUCCCGAGGGUCCGGGGUUGGGGGGGCGUGAAGUGGCAGCAAGACAGUUCCUGACCUCUUACUAGCCAGACGACACGUUCAUGACACGAUUCAGUGAAGUCUGGACGCUUAGGGAUGCACAAUUCCCCUAAGCAAGGCAAGUGUCAUGAAAUCACCGAUAAAAAACGAGAAAACACAAAAAAAUCAAAAAAAUCCAAAAAUACCAAAAAAAGUUGUCUUGUUUUGCUUUGUUUAAAGCGUCUUGUAUGUUGGUAUGGCGGGUCUUUUCUGGGGAGAAGGAGACUCACGCGUUCCAACAUACAAAACCAGGAAAAGUCGAUACGGAAACACCAAGAGAAGGAAAGCAUAGAAAGGAACAUCAGAAAAAAGGAUAACGCAGAGAAGGAACAUCAGAAAAAGGAUAACGAAGAGAAGUAACAUCAGAAGGAAAAGGAAAAUAGAAAAACUCAUCCACCUUUCGGCCCAAACCAACAACACAAAAUUAUGGGCGAGUCUCUUCUGGGAGGAAAGCGGCUCGUUCAGACCAGGAACACCAGAAAGGAUGAUAGUAAUAUUAAGAAAAGGAAAAGAGAAAAAAAUCAUCCACCUUUCGGCCCAAACCAACAUCACAAAAUUAUGGGCGAGUCUCUUCUGGGAGGAAAGCGGCUCGUUCAGACCAGGAACACCAGAAAGGAUGAUAGAAACAUCAAUAAAAGGAAUACGUUCAGACCAGGAACACUAGAAAGGAUGAUAGAAACAUUAAGAAAAGGAAAAUAAAAAGUCACCCAGCUUUCGGCCCCUGGGGCCGCAGGGCGGGCGACGGGUGAAUCUCCUCUGGGGAGAAGGAGACUAACCCAGACCGUCACGAAAAAAUAGAAAAAGGAAAUUAAAACAUCGAGAAAGGAAACUGAAAUUACAUCAAGAAAAUUAAUAAAGUCAUCCAGCUUUCGGCCCCUGGGGCCGCAGGGUGAGUGACGGGUGAGUCUCUUCUGGGGAGAAGGAGGCUAACCCAACCCAGACCGUCAAGAAAAGAAGAAAGAGAAAUUAAAACAUCGAGAAAAGAAAAUGAACUACAACAUCUAGCAAAUAAAUAAAAAGUCAUCCAGCUUUCGGCCCCUGGGGCCGCAGGAUGGGUGACGGGUGAGUCUCUUCUGGGGAGAAGGAGGCUCAUCCACACCCAGCAACACCAACAGAUGGAAAAGAAAAGAAAACAUCCAGAGAAAAGAAAAGGAUAGGAAAGAAUAUAAAACAUCCAGAGAAAAUAAAAGAAAAGAAAAGGAAAGAAAACAUCCAGAGAAAAGAAAAGAAAAGAAAUCAUCCUGAAAAAAGAAAAGAAAAGCAAA